AACGAACGCUGGCGGCAGGCCUAACACAUGCAAGUCGAGCGAACCCUUCGGGGUUAGCGGCGGACGGGUUAGUAACNCGUGGGAAUAUGNCCAAAGGUACGGAAUAGCCUCGGGAAACUGAGAGUAAUACCGUAUGUGCCCUUCGGGGGAAAGAUUUAUCGCCUUUGGAUUAGCCCGCGUUGGAUUAGGUAGUUGGUGGGGUAAUGGCCUACCAAGCCGACGAUCCAUAGCUGGUUUGAGAGGAUGAUCAGCAACACUGGGACUGAGACACGGCCCAGACUCCUACGGGAGGCAGCAGUGGGGAAUCUUAGACAAUGGGGGAAACCCUGAUCUAGCCAUGCCGCGUGAGCGAUGAAGGCCUUAGGGUUGUAAAGCUCUUUCAGCUGGGAAGAUAAUGACGGUACCAGCAGAAGAAGCCCCGGCUAACUCCGUGCCAGCAGCCGCGGUAAUACGGAGGGGGCUAGCGUUGUUCGGAAUUACUGGGCGUAAAGCGCACGUAGGCGGACUGGAAAGUUGGGGGUGAAAUCCCGGGGCUCAACCCCGGAACUGCCUUCAAAACUCCCAGUCUUGAGUUCGAGAGAGGUGAGUGGAAUUCCGAGUGUAGAGGUGAAAUUCGUAGAUAUUC
rnacentral:rRNA from 1 species